rnacentral:lncRNA from 1 species
UUUGAUAAAUUUGACAUAGUGAAAACUAUCAUAAAAGAUGAAUAAGUUAGAGAAAUAAUUAUGUUUAUAAACAAUUAAUGAAACAAAACAAUUAAGGGAAAAAGAAACAGAAAUGCAGCUAUAUCAUGUAAACAAGCUACUAUAUAUGUGUUAAUAUAUUUGAACGUUACUAAUAUUAUUUAUAUGUUCCAAUUCAAUAAUUAUAGAAUUUCUUGCAUAUAACUUUCCUGAUUACUGUUUUGUUGAUUCAAGAAGUCCGUGAAUAUUAUAAGUAGUUUCAUUAGUGUGUAGCUAGUAGACUUUGAGGUCAUCUAAUAGUUAUUUUAUCAUUGCAGUGUACUUAAAUUAUUUAAGAUGUCCAAGAGCAUAAGUAAUCAUAUGAUAUGUAUUGUCAUAAACAAAAUGAAUAUAAUGACACAUACCUUAGUAAAAUAUGACUCAACUUAGCGGGGAUAAAGAUGAAAUUAGAGUUUCGUGUUAUUAACGUGUUAUAAAAUAAAAAUAAUGUAGCAAAAUAAAGUAACAAGAAUAGAAAUUAUAUAAGGGAUGAGAGAACUAUUUUCUUUCUUUAUCUUAUGUGUGCAAUUUUUCCAUAAGAAUACAAAGUUAUUUAUAAGUCUAAAAAGUGAUCUAAGCAAAAAGCAAGGGAAAUGGGUCACCAUAGCAAGCAUCCACUAUCAUAAAUUAUUCACAACAAUAACUAUUUUGUGAGGUCAAUUUCCACUAUCACAAGAUAGAAUCACUCUAUCCAUUGAGACUUAGUCACUAGAAAAGUUAAAUAAGAAGAAAAUAACCAAAGCAAUCAUGGCGAGUCCCCAUUCAUUUCCUUCUGCCAUGGAAAACAUCACUUGAAAAGCAAAGAAGACCAAAAUAAGGAACAACAAUCCCCAUUUCCUAAACUCAUCCGAUAAGCUCGGCUCGGAUGGUAAUUGUAACUUUGAAGAGAAGGUGCAUAAAUACUUGCCAUACAUAGUAAAAGAGGACCAAGAAGGAUUUUGAAGACACUGUAAGUUAGUAGAAUAACAGCAAGAGAUACUAUUAUUGAUUUAGUAGUAGAGUAUACAAAGAAAAUGGCUAGAAGAGGGACAAAAAAAUAAAAAGUAACGUUUAUAUUUUCUGUAUCAAAGGCUAAUCAGAAUCUCUCAGUUAUGUUUUGGCCAUGGAGGAGUAAUCCUAAACUGAGUACAAGAAGAAGAUGGACUAAUGGAGAAGGCCCUUUAACCAUAUUAAGGAAAAUGGCUGUUUUGGCAGUGUCAUAUAUAAGUUACUUCUUUUUGUGAUAAAAAAACAGAAAUGGACUUGAGUGUAUAAUUCAAGAACUGGAUUAAAGUAAUGGGGU